CCUUCUCAAAGAGCAGGUCGCUAAGGGACUGUGCGAACUCCCCAUCCUCCAUCAGCAGAAAGUGCCGCAGCGCCUCGAAGUGUGACUCCAGGUGCAGCUCCACAAAGAAGUAGUCCACCGCAGCUUUAUUUACCAAGGAGACACUGGCAGGAGGGCCCCGGAGUCAGAGGACACAUUUCUAACACUGCUGGUGUCCCCACCUGCACACCGCACUCAGAGUGCCUAAAGGAGCCACCCCGUCUUACUCAGCUAGCCCGAGGCCUGCAUCAAAGCACCUUCUCCUCCUUGCUGAUGGAGCUGUGGCGGGCCACCCGCUCCAUGCGCCCCACGUACACUGCGCAGUCCUUCUCGACCUCCUUCAGCUCCUCCAGGGAGAAAAUCACUGAGAUGCGAGGGACAGGGAUGUCCGACCAACAGAGAUGUACACAUCGUGUGCCACGUGCCUCAGGAACACCGGGACGCAGUCUUCCACCUCUUUGGAAAUAAGCGCGAAGCCAUGGGUCCAGUAAGACUUGUCUACACGGAUGUAAAGUGCAGGGUCUGCAGUUGCUGUGGCCCUGCUCUGAGGCGCCAGGCCCCACCCAGCAGCCACAGACACCCACCUCUGCAGCCGAGGUACUCAUCGUUCCCCUGGAUCAUAAAUUCCCCAUAGACGUCUCCGAGGACCCCGCUGUACACCCAGUCACGGAUGAACCUGCACAGCAGCCAGGCAGAGUAAAAGGGGGUGGGGUGGGGGAGGGUCCCACCAAGAUACCCAGUCCGAGUCCCUGUGUGGCCGCCCACCUAGGCACCCACCGUGU